ACUAUACUCCCUCCGUUUGGAAUUACUUAUCUUAGAUAUGGAUGUAUCUAAAACUAAAAUACAUCUAGAUACAUUCAUUUCUGUGACAAAUAAUUCUGAACGGAGGGAGUACAUA
rfam:Triticum aestivum genome assembly, contig: Triticum_aestivum_CS42_TGACv1_scaffold_001912_1AL